AAUUCCCUGCGGUGCGCGUUGGAAAAUCGAUAAAUAUUGAACCAACACCAAUAUAAAGGGAGCCUAGGCUUCCAAGCCGUCUUUGGCGGAAUGGAGAGGGCACCCAUCUGAAAAACAGGUUCAGAAAUAUCGUUCCAACGGCACUCUGCGGGGAGUUU
rnacentral:sRNA from 1 species